rnacentral:rRNA from 1 species
UACGUAGGGCGCAAGCGUUAUCCGGAAUUAUUGGGCGUAAAGAGCUCGUAGGCGGUUUGUCGCGUCUGCCGUGAAAGUCCGGGGCUCAACUCCGGAUCUGCGGUGGGUACGGGCAGACUAGAGUGAUGUAGGGGAGACUGGAAUUCCUGGUGUAGCGGUGAAAUGCGCAGAUAUCAGGAGGAACACCAAUGGCGAAGGCAGAUCUCUGGGCCGUAACUGACGCUGAGGAGCGAAAGCAUGGGAGCGAACAGG